rnacentral:lncRNA from 1 species
CCUGGAUGGAGGACCAAAAUAACGACUGUCUGCGGCAGCAUCCACUUGGCACUGGGCUCGACACGAACAGCGAGUCAUGUAUUGACUUAGCGGAGCAGCAUUCAAAUGCCACUUUCACCCACCUACGUCGAGGCUCUCAGGUACUUUAUCCGAUUUUGAGAUAUAUUAAUUAGUAUUGAUUCAAGUUCAUCCCACGGUAGAGUGACCGAUGAAAACAGCGCUGGCGCAGCACAGCUCAUUGAUCAGACGAUGAACAUCAGACAGCACAUCCCUUCUUGUGAACUCCUCUCUCGAGUUCGAAGUAUCGGCAUUGUGGAUGGUUCAGCAGGACAGCAGGUUCAGGACAGCCCAAUCGAUGCUGCCCAGGCAAGCGGCAGUGACCCUCCUUCUAGAGCGAAUAGAGAAAGGCCACAGUCUGAAUGGUCUUGCCGAGGCCCAUCUCAUCGGCUAGAAUGGUGUCGAUUGCCUGUCGAGGCUCUUCAGGUACUUUAUCCGAUUUUGAGAUAUUUUAAUUAGUAUUGAUUCAAGUUCAUCCCACCGUAGAGUGACCGAUGAAAACAGCGCUGGCGCAGCACAGCUCAUUGAUCAGACGAUGAACAUCAGACAGCACAUCCCUUCUUGUGAACUCCUCUCUCGAGUUCGAAGUAUCGGCAUUGUGGAUGGUUCAGCAGGACAGCAGGUUCAGGACAGCCCAAUAGAUGCUGCCCAGGCAAGCGGCAGUGACCCUCCUUCUAGAGCGAAUAGAGAAAGGCCACAGUCUGAAUGG